GGGUGGAGACUUUAGUGAUGACAAUGCAAUUCAUUUGCAGGUAUGUUUUCUGUUAAGGCCUUUGAGUAUGUCUAAUGUCACCUUUUCUUUUUUUUCCAGCAGGACGCGACGCAGAUUGAAGAUUCGAAGGUAUGUUUUCUGUUAAGGCCUUUGUGUAUGUCUAAUGUCGCCUUUUCUUUUUUUCUAGCAGGGCGCGACGCAGAUUGAGGAUUUUCAGGUAUGUUUUCUGUUAAGACCUUUGUGUAUGUCUAAUGUUGCUUUUCUUUUUUUCUAGCAGGGCGCGACGCAGAUUGAGGAUUCCCAGGUAUGUUUUCUGUUAAGACCUUUGUGUAUGUCUAAUGUUGU
rnacentral:lncRNA from 1 species